UGUCGGGGCGGAGCGGAGGGAAAGAUAACCCCGGAGAGAUAGGGAGCCGGAGAGGGAAGCCGAUCUCUGCCGAGAAGGGGCCCCAGGCCGGCCAUUGGAAACUAAGAUCUGGAGAUGGACAGGGCCAAAUGCGAGAAGAAUGGAGAAAGAGCCAGAGACCAAGACAAACAGAAGACACCUGCCAGGAUGCUGGACCAGACCACACAGAGAAGGACAGACGUCACUACCGGAGGGAAAUUCUCCUUGGGGGAGCAGCUACCAGCCCCCACAACACCUCCUUCUCCACUUCCCCAGCCCCUGGUCCUCUCGGAAUUCAGGGGCUUCCUCAUGUCCCCACCCACCCUCUGGGCAAAGCCCUUCCCAACAUCACAUUCCUGGGCCCUAGCAUGGCCCUGAGACCCCAGCCCUGGACACAGGUCUGCUCAGGUGCGCAAGCUACUUCCUGACUCAGCAGACCACUUCUGCUGACCACGGUGACAUGGGAGGAAGGAGAACUCUGAGCUGCCCACAAUUCCUUUUCCUUUCAGUCCUUCUGUGCUCAUCAGAAACCUGAAGGUACGAGGGAAUACGCUACUAAGUGCAGCACUGGUAUUCAGAGGGAAAUAAGCUAAGGAAGGAAUGGGGCUCAAAGAGCCAUCACAAACCUCCAACCUCUUCCUGGAACCCAGCCUUCCCACCAGCAUCUCCAGGAAGAAGGAAGGGAACAAGAACUCCCACACCCUCUUUCCCAUAUCCAGAGGCUAUCAUGAAGUCUGUGUUCCUUGAUCCUCCUCUCCACCACCCCAAAUCCCAGGGAUUCAGCUAUCUGGGUCCCAACAAGAUGAGUCUUUUCAGAGACAAGAACAAGGAAAGAAGAUAACUCCAACACACAGAUAUGGGCAUGUUGGCAGGAGGGCUAUCAUUUAAUGGGCACAGAGUUUCGCUUUUGCAAGAUGAAGAGUUCCAGAGAUGGAUGGUGGGGAGAGUUGCCCAAAACUGAAAAACGUAAUCCCACUGAGCCAUACAAAUAGUUAAGAUGGUACAUUUUAGUCCAUCAGGGUCAAAUUAAAAAAAAAAUUUGUUUACAAAGAUGGUAAAUUGGGGGUGCCUG